rnacentral:rRNA from 1 species
GAUGAACGCUGGCGGCGUGCCUAAUACAUGCAAGUCGAGCGAACAGACGAGGAGCUUGCUCCUCUGACGUUAGCGGCGGACGGGUGAGUAACACGUGGAUAACCUACCUAUAAGACUGGGAUAACUUCGGGAAACCGGAGCUAAUACCGGAUAAUAUAUUGAACCGCAUGGUUCAAUAGUGAAAGACGGUUUUGCUGUCACUUAUAGAUGGUUCCGCGCCGCAUUAGCUAGUUGGUAAGGUAACGGCAUACCAAGGCAACGAUGCGUAGCCGACCUGAGAGGGUGAUCGGCCACACUGGAACUGAGACACGGUCCAGACUCCUACGGGAGGCAGCAGUAGGGAAUCUUCCGCAAUGGGCGAAAGCCUGACGGAGCAACGCCGCGUGAGUGAUGAAGGUCUUCGGAUCGUAAAACUCUGUUAUUAGGGAAGAACAAAUGUGUAAGUAACUAUGCACGUCUUGACGGUACCUAAUCAGAAAGCCACGGCUAACUACGUG